rnacentral:rRNA from 1 species
GACGAACGCUGGCGGCGUGCUUAACACAUGCAAGUCGAACGGAAAGGCCCUGCUUUUGUGGGGUGCUCGAGUGGCGAACGGGUGAGUAACACGUGAGUAACCUGCCCUUGACUUUGGGAUAACUUCAGGAAACUGGGGCUAAUACCGGAUAGGAUCUCCUGCUGCAUGGUGGGGGUUGGAACUUUUCGGCGGUUGGGGGUGGACUCGCGGCUUAUCAGCUUGUUGGUGGGGUAGUGGCUUACCAAGGCUUUGACGGGUAGCCGGCCUGUGAGGGUGACCGGCGAUAUUGGGACCUAGAGAAGGCCCAGAUUGCUACGGGAGGAAGCAGUGGGGAAGACUGAACAAGGGAUGGAAGGCUGAUGCAGAAACGCCGCGUGCGGGAAGACGGCCUUCGGGUUGAAAAACGGCUUCGCUCAUGACGAAGCCUGGUGUGACGGUAGUGGGUAAAGAAGCACCGGCUAACUACGUG